rnacentral:rRNA from 1 species
UACGUAGGGUGCAAGCGUUGUCCGGAAUUAUUGGGCGUAAAGAGCUCGUAGGCGGUUAGUCACGUCUGCUGUGAAAACUCGGGGCUUAACCCUGGGCCUGCAGUGGGUACGGGCUGACUAGAGUGCGGUAGGGGAGACUGGAAUUCCUGGUGUAGCGGUGAAAUGCGCAGAUAUCAGGAGGAACACCGGUGGCGAAGGCGGGUCUCUGGGCCGUAACUGACGCUGAGGAGCGAAAGCGUGGGGAGCAAACAGG